UGAAACUUCAGGCUAUGGAGUUAUCAUGGGUACUGGUUUCGCCAUGCAAGGGUUAGGCAUAUGCAAGGGAGUAGUCCUCUCCAUUUAGAAUUUGGAAAUAAUCGAAGACUUCCUACCAUUGAAGCUCGACAGUUAGGACGUAAUAUUGGGAAUGAAGUGGUUAUCGACCUUGGGCAAAAUGAUAGUGGAUUGGAAUGAGUUGAUUAUGAGAUUUCAGGCAGGGAAAACCACAGUGACAUUACAGGGAGAUCCUAGCCUAAGCAAAACCUUGGUGGGAUUAAAAUCAAUGAUUAAGGCAUUUUGAGAAAACGGAGAAGGAAUAUUACUAGAAUUGGGUAACAUUUCUGUCGAGCUAUGUAAAGUUAGAUUGGAGGUACCCGGAGAAUUAGAAGAGGUGUUGGAGGAUUAUAAAAGAGUCCUCCAAGAACUGUGUGGACUUCCCCUUAAUCGGGAAAGGGAUCAUGCGAUUGUAUUGCAACCAGGCACUACUCUAGUCAGCAUUAGACCCUAUCGAUACCCGUAUAGCUAGAAAAACGAGAUUGAAAGGUUGGUUCGAGAAAUGCUAGCAGCUGGAAUAAUCAGACCAAGCACCAGCCUGUUCUCGAGU
rnacentral:lncRNA from 1 species